rnacentral:rRNA from 1 species
AGACGGAGGGUGCAAGCGUUAAUCGGAAUUACUGGGCGUAAAGCGCUCGUAGGCGGCUUGUUAAGUCGGAUGUGAAAGCCCCGGGCUCAACCUGGGAACUGCAUUCGAUACUGGCAGGCUAGAGUAUAGUAGAGGCAAGUGGAAUUCCGGGUGUAGCGGUGAAAUGCGUAGAUAUCCGGAGGAACAUCAGUGGCGAAGGCGACUUGCUGGACUAAUACUGACGCUGAGGAGCGAAAGCGUGGGGAGCAAACGGGAUUAGAAACCCCAGUAGUCC